CUUUGGAGGAACGCUUUAUUGGGCGCGGACGUUCCGGGCGGCCGGCGGGCGCUAGAGCGGAGGCGGUCGGCGGCAGCCGGCGGGCGGCGGAGCGGGACGGACCAGGCGGCGGCGGCGGGGCCGGCGACGAGGCAGCUUCACGACUGGCGGGGACGGGCCGGAGUCGGGCUGGGCGCCCGCGCGUGUCCUCCCGCGGACCUUCCACUGGACUCCCGCGGGCCGGCGCCGGGAUCGGGGUCGGGGCCCGCUCGGUCCGCCCCGCCCCCCGCCCGGCGGGCCGCUUGCGAGGCACACCCUCCCGGACCGCGCACACGCGCAGGCACACCCCCGCCUCCCGCGCGCACGCGGCCGGGCCCGGCCGGCCCACGCGCGCCCCCUUCCCGCGGACGCCCGCCGCCCGCCCGCCGCCCCGGCCUCCUCCGAGGAGUGCAGGAAGGCCCGGGGUCCCGCGGCCAGGGCGCGCGGGGGACGGCGGCCUAGCGGCAGCGGGGGCGCCCGCGCGGGAAGACCGGCUCUGAGGGAAGGUCACUUACCCGCUGCAUGGCUUUCAGGAUUAAAGCCAGCUCGUAGCGGGGCAUGCCUGGAGGAUCGGCGAGUGCGGCUCGGAAGCCAGCCGGUUCCCGGGACGCGAAGGGGCGGCGAAAGCACGGUCCGAGAGCGCGAGCCCGGGCUUAAAGGCGCUGGCAGCUGCGCAGACGCCGCGCCACGCCCCCUCGGCGCGCCCCGCCCCGCCCGCGCGCCUUGCCGCCGCCCCGCCCCCUCUCCGCCCGCGGGCGGCCGCCACGCCCCCUCCGCAGCCCCGCACCCGCCGCACCGCCCCCGCCCCGACCCCAGCCCAGCCCGCCGGCCGCGGCUAGGGGCGGUGCUGCAGACGCGGCCCAGAGCGGCUCGCGGCGGCCGCACGCCCCCUCGCGACCCUGCCUGCCCCUACCCCGCCUCCUGCCAUGCCUGCUACCUAGCUCUCGAACCGGCUGGAACUUUCCAUGCCUUCCU
rnacentral:lncRNA from 10 species